rfam:Loxodonta africana unplaced genomic scaffold scaffold_139, whole genome shotgun sequence.
GUUUCUGUAGUGUAGUGGUUAUAACGUUCGCCUAACACGCGAAAGGUCCCCGGUUCAAAACCGGGCGGAAACA